UCUGCCGUUCAGCUUCCAAUCGUCUCAGGACAAUUUCUUG
rnacentral:rRNA from 1 species